GGUUGAAACAAGACCUCUCUUACUCAAGUCUUGGUUGCCUGUUGGACUAUACCAUAUAAAGGCACAAACUGUCGGGGUGCUUGAACCAGGAUAGCCCUCGAAAGAGCGGGCUAUCCGGGACCAGGCUGAGAAAGUCCCUUUGAACCUGAACAGGGUAAUGCCUGCGCAGGGAGUGUGCAUGUUUUUUUUUUAAUUUUCUGUAGCUUUCUAAAGGUGAAGAAGCUUCUACCGUUGCCGCUCCCCUGAGUCUCAGUCCACGGUUUCCAACAGUUGAUUCUCACGAGCUAUUAAAAAGUCUAACUGAUGCACUACGUCACUAACAGUGAAGAAUCAUUCAAUCAAAACUUCUUUUCAGAUUGGUGAAAAUGCUAUCGCUGCCUUGGGACGUAUCACAUAAGCUAAAAUCAAUCUUCUCUUUUAAGUUGGUUUACAGCUACACAACACAAAUCGGAUUUCUAACACUUAAGAUCAUGUUUUCUACCUAGCUAUACUGGUUUAUUUACAUAAAUAUGCAUGACAAUGAAACUUGGGUGAUCACUUUGAGGAAACAUACUGGGAAAAGCAAUACACCUUUUGUCAUUUUAUUACAUAGUAGCUAUGGCAGAGGCGUAGAGAGUGGAAUGGCAUCGGCCAGAACAAGCAGUUGUAAGGAAAGUGAACCUCAAUCAGCUACACAUGAAAAUGAUCGAUCCUCUGUAGUUUCUCAUUGUUCAGCUUUCAUAAACACAAAUUUGAAAACGUUUUACAUCAAUUACGUAAAAGAUUUUUGUUAUGUUGCAGUUGAACAUAAAGUUAACGAAACUUACCAAAUGUGAAAGAUAACUUUUGGGGCCAAGAGGAUAAAAAUGUUACACAGCCUAUAUUAAUUUCCUGCUGUAUGACAGUAUGAGAUCACACAAUUGUCAAGAGCCAGAAACUCUUACGUUGUGUCUUAAUUGGUUUGAAGGUUUCUCAUAUUACUAGCUUUUGUAUUUGACAGCCUUGGUGUUUUUUUAUGGUAAAUGUUUCUGCUAACAUGUACAUGAACAUGAAUCAUGAGAGAUGUGAUGUUUCUAUAUCUAUAUAUAUAUAUCAUGUUUCUGUAAUUGUUGUGGGCUGCUUGUGAGCCUCAUCUGGCACCAUUUUUAGUUUGUUUUGUCACUGACCGGAUCAGAUCAAACAGUGAUUAUGUAAUAACAUCAUGUUUGAUCAUACAUCAUCCAUGGGUUGGAGUUUGUAUUUUGAUAUAACCAAACCAAGUCAGUUAGUAAUGCACAUGGAAGGCAUAGAGAGAAAGGGAGACGGCACGCAGUUUCCUUUAGGAAAUCCUGGACGUUGUGAUAUUCACUCGUGGGAUUUGUGACUAGUAAAUAAAAAACAGCAUGUAAGUUAUGUUUAGAUUUUCAAAACGUCACACAUUUUGGUACUCAUUCAACACUGUCGUCUUCAUCUGAGUCUCGAAGGAAUCACGAUGAUGAUCUAAACCCUAAUUUUCUUCACCGAAAGGUUCCCAAACAUGGCGGAAUCCGAAUCUCAGAUCUAUCACGAACGACAACGAUUGCAAUUUUGCCUUUUGCACUCCCUCAACAAUCUAUUUCAGGACAAAGACGCAUUCACGCGAGAAAGCUUGAACUCAAUCGCAGAGAAGCUCGUGGAGGAUGAUCCAAACAAAGAAACAUGGACGACACCUCUCUCUUUACUCCUCAAGCCUCACCACAAUACGCUCACUGGUAACUACGACGUGAACGUGAUGAUCACAGCUCUCGAAGGCAAAGGAAAGAGUGUUGUUUGGCAUGAUAAGCGUAGUGGAGCUUCUUCGAUUGAUCUUGAUGGUACAGAUACUUUGAUGGGUAUUGUGUUGAAUGUUCCGGUUAAGCGGUACGGUGGACUUUGGAGAAGUAGGCAUUGGGUUGUGGUUAGAAGAAUCAAUGGUGUUUGGUAUAAUUUGGAUAGUGAUCUCGUUGUGCCACAGAUGUUUAAAGAUGGAGAUGAAGUUAGAGGGUUCUUGGAUCAAAACCUGAGUUUAGGUGCAGAGGUUUUGCUAGUGACCAACAAUGCUUAAAAGAUCAACAAACUUUUUGGUAGCCUCAAGUCUCAAGUACGGUAUCUGCAAUUUAUAAAGCUACAGGAACAAAACGAUUCAAUGCAAACACUGGACCAGUAACUCCCGGGAAGCAAUCCUCAGUCAAGGAACCAUAUGGUAAGAAUCCGGGAUGCACAACAAGCUGUGGUAUGAGGCUACCGAGGAAAAC